rnacentral:rRNA from 1 species
AUUGAACGCUGGCGGCAUGCCUUACACAUGCAAGUCGAACGGCAGCACGGGAGCAAUCCUGGUGGCGAGUGGCGAACGGGUGAGUAAAGUAUCGGAACGUGCCCAGUCGUGGGGGAUAACGUAGCGAAAGUUACGCUAAUACCGCAUACGAUCUAGGGAUGAAAGCGGGGGAUCGCAAGACCUCGCGGGAUGGGAAAGGCCGAUAUCAGAUUAGGUAGUUGGUGGGGUAAAGGCUCACCAAGCCGACGAUCUGUAGCUGGUCUGAGAGGACGACCAGCCACACUGGGACUGAGACACGGCCCAGACUCCUACGGGAGGCAGCAGUGGGGAAUUUUGGACAAUGGGCGAAAGCCUGAUCCAGCCAUGCCGCGUGCAGGAUGAAGGCCUUCGGGUUGUAAACUGCUUUUGUACGGAACGAAAAGGUUUGGCCUAAUAAGCUGAGCUCAUGACGGUACCGUAAGAAUAAGCACCGGCUAACUACGUGCCAGCCGCCGCCGUAA